CCCAGACUCCUACGGGAGGCAGCAGUGGGGAAUAUUGCACAAUGGGGGGAACCCUGAUGCAGCGACGCCGCGUGAGUGAAGAAGUAUUUCGGUAUGUAAAGCUCUAUCAGCAGGGAAGAAAAUGACGGUACCUGACUAAGAAGCCCCGGCUAACUACGUGCCAGCAGCCGCGGUAAUACGUAGGGGGCAAGCGUUAUCCGGAUUUACUGGGUGUAAAGGGAGCGUAGACGGCGAAGCAAGUCUGAAGUGAAAGCCCAGGGCUCAACCCUGGGACUGCUUUGGAAACUGUUUUGCUAGAGUGUCGGAGAGGUAAGUGGAAUUCCUAGUGUAGCGGUGAAAUGCGUAGAUAUUAGGAGGAACACCAGUGGCGAAGGCGGCUUACUGGACGAUAACUGACGUUGAGGCUCGAAAGCGUGGGGAGCAAACAGGAUUAGAUACCCGCGUA
rnacentral:rRNA from 1 species